CUAAUUCUACGGAAGAUACAACGAAGCGGCCAUUACUGGUUAACUGCAGAAAAUGGUCGGUCCAUUGCUCCGAUCUCUCUGGUACACGUCUCUGAUACACAGCCACCAGCAAAUCCCUCUCUUUUUACUCCUCUAAUUAUCUAAAGCCUCAUUUAUUCGGAUGCGCCUUCUCCACAGCGAGCGCCACUGCCGCCGUUUCAUCCGCGGCGACUCUGGCCAGCUGAGGAACUUGGCUGUUAUAGCCCACGUCGACCAUGGAAGGACCGCCCUCAAAGAUAGGCUCCUCCGGCAGUGCGGUUCUGACAUCCCCCACAAAUAGACUCCAUCAGCCUCGAGCGCGAGCUUGGCAUCACCAUUGCUUCUUAGGUACUCAUUAAGAUACUACCUUCCUUGAAUUAUUCAUUACCUUUUUAUGUUUGCUUCCUUAUGAACUUCAUUGAAGAAGGAAAGUAAUUGGUUUAACAUCGCUCUGUUUUCCCAUGAAAUGCAUUUCACUCUGUUGUAAUUCUGAUUAUAUUCACUGCAUGCCAAAUUUCUGAAAGGGGGUGAUUUUAGCGUUGUAUGAAUUUCACGUGGGGUGUUUGAGUCAAUCAAUUGCUCUUAUAAAUUGAUGAAGUUCUAAACAAAAUACACAUAUUUCUAUUAAAUUGAUUUUUAAAAUUAAAAAAUACCAGGUGGUAGUGCCAUGAAUUGAUCCAGAAACAAGGUUAUUCCCAUGGACAGUGUGUUAAAAAUAAUAAAUAGGAGUGAGAUCAAGUGGGUAAAUUUGUUAUAAGAUAUACUAGGACAAGUAUGAAGUCCUUUGAGGUGGAAUUGCAUACAAUUUUAGAUCUUUUGGUUCCAUCUUUGUGUUUCUUUAUUUAGAUGUCUGACUUGUAUUACUGAUUUCACGCUUUCCACUACCACAAUACCAACUUUGAAGUGACAAAUGGUUCUUGAAAUAGGAAGAGAAGGAGAAGGAGAAGGAGAAUAUAGUGAGAAGAUAGAGUGAAAAAUAUGAGUUUAUUCAAUAUCAAAGUUUAACUAUUAUAUAGGGUUUAAAUUAGUCAAUUUAAGUAGGAAAGUACUGCAAAUUUUAUUAAAUCAAAGCAUAAUAAUUUUUCCUAAAAUAAGCAUCCAAUUUGGAAGUUAAACGACUCAUAGAAUCAUCAUUACGUUACCUAAAGUAAGUAUAUAAUUUGGAAAGUAAAUUAAAUAUUAUCUCUUCUAGGAUUUUCAUCAUAGGGAUUGCCAUCUCCUUUUCUAACUGGCGUCUGUUAAGUUAGCUGAAGCUUACGCUUUGAGGCCUGCCUUGUGAGGCUUUCAUUGAACGACUCAAGAUUUCCCCUUAAAUGUCAUUUUGAAUGCUCGCGUCUCAAUUCAUUGAGGCACUUCCUUGACUUAUUUUGUUUUAUACAAGGGAAGUCACCAUUAUGAGUGGAGGAUGAUGACAAAGAAUGAGGGGGAAAAUUACAAAGAUGAGGAGGACGAUAGGAGAAUGGAAAACACACUGAUGAUUCUUUUAAAGAUCCUACCAGUAACAAUGACAUAGGAGAUUUCUGGUAGUAAUGAAAAAAGUCGGUCUUACUGCUGCAACCAUUUGGUUGGUAGUAGGUCGAUGAAAGUUUAUGAGAUGUAAUUUUUUCCCGAGCAGCUAGAGGAUGUAGAUUUUUGGUCUCUUGUGACGGUGUAUUAUGGUUAAUGAAAAUAUAUUUAUAUUUCCUCUGUUGCUUAUGCUAAUUUACAUUUUAGAUGUCCGGAUGGACUAUACCACUGAUUUGUCACUUUUUAAUACCACCCUUUAAGAAGUGAAAAAUGAAAUUUGGAAAUUGUAUACACAAAUAGUUCUUGUUUUCUUGAUGCCAAUAGACUGGGUGUCUCUUCUUCUAAGUCUGCAUAUAAGGUCUCUUCUUCUAUGUCUGCACAUAAGGGCAAUGUAAGUUGUGGUGGAAUAAUAUUCGUG
rnacentral:lncRNA from 1 species